CGGAGCUGGGGACCGAACCCAGGGCCUUGUGCUUCCUAGGCAAGUGCUCUGCCACUGAGCCAAAUCCCCAGCCCCCUUGGUGCCUGUCUUAGUUUGGGUUGCUGUUGCUGUGAAGAGAUGCCACGGCCACAACAACUCACAGGUUUACAGAUUUGAUGCAUUACCAUCAUGGAAGGAAGCAGGGCAGUACACAGGCAGGCGUGGUGCUCGAGAAGGAACCAAGAGCUCUACAUUCAGAUGGGGAUCUGCAGGCAGCAGGAAGAGAAAGACACUGGGCCUGGCUUGAACUUGAAACCCCAAAACCCACCCCCCACCCCCAGUAACACAUUUCCUCCAACAAGGCCACACGUCCUGAUCCCUGUCAAACAGUACCACUUCCUAAUGACCAAACUUCUGAAUAUAAGAGCCUUCAGGGGCCAUUCCUGUUCAGACUACCACAGUGCCCGAGCUCUAGGAGCCCGACCUGCUGGGCGUGUCUGACUCUCCCUGUGAGUCCCUGCUGCCCUAGGAUGAACCACAUCUUAUUCACCUCUUCAUGGGCCUACCUGGGUCUUGCAUGAGUUCUCACACGUAGACACUGACCCCUGGGCUGGGCUUCUUCUAGGAGC
rnacentral:lncRNA from 1 species